rnacentral:lncRNA from 1 species
GCACAGCUUCAGGUAGAGAGGUGCAGGGGGUGCCUUCUGCCCCAGAACGGGCUCUGCCAGGGCAGGGAUGGCACCUUUGGAAGAGAUGGUACCUUUGGAGCAGACAGCAUGGAUUACCAUGCUCUGGGGACAUCUGCACUUUAGUUCUUCCAGGUAUCUAGAGAAGAACACAAGUUUUCGGAUUGAAGGUGCCACUCAGAGCAAGUAAACGGCACUUUUCAAGACUCCCCUUUGGAAACAUUCUAGAGAAUUUGAGAAUAGUGAGAGAAAAAUAGCAGCUUUUAAGGAAAACAGAG